rnacentral:rRNA from 1 species
GACGAACGCUGGCGGCGUGCUUAACACAUGCAAGUCGAGCGGUAAGGCCCUUCGGGUACGACGAGCGGCGAACGGGUGAGUAACACGUGGGUGACCUGCCUCUAGCUCUGGGAGUAAGCCUGGGAAACGUGGGUCUAAUACCGGAUAUGACUCCACGGCGCAUGUUGUGGGGUGGAAAGCCUUGUGUGGCUAGAGAUGGGCCCGCGGCCUAUCAGCUUGUUGGUGGGGUGAUGGCCUACCAAGGCGACGACGGGUAGCCGGCCUGAGA